AUACGGAGGAUGCAAGCGUUAUCCGGAUUUAUUGGGUUUAAAGGGUGCGCAGGCGGCGCGUUAAGUCAGCGGUGAAAUCUCAUGGCUCAACCAUGGAACUGCCGUUGAUACUGGCGUGCUCGAGUACGGACGGCGCCGGCGGAAUGUGUCAUGUAGCGGUGAAAUGCUUAGAUAUGCCACAGAACACCGAUCGCGAAGGCAGCUGGCGAGGCCGGGACUGACGCUCAGGCACGAAAGCGUGGGGAUCAAACAGGAUUAGAUACCCUGGUAGUCCACGCAGUAAACGAUGAAGACUUGUUGUCGGCGAUAGAAUGUCGGUGACAAAGCGAAAGCGAUAAGUCUUCCACCUGGGGAGUACGAUCGCAAGGUUGAAACUCAAAUGAAUUGACGGGG
rnacentral:rRNA from 1 species